GAACCCUACACACAGAGCUGCAGAGUCAAAAGACAGAGAAGAUGAAUCCAGUCAAUAUACUGAGUUGCAGCCUCACCACAACACAUCCAACAGAAUCCACACGAGCAGCUAUCCAGAGAAGUUCUACAGCAUCACAACACAACAAGGCAUCCAACAUAAUGUACACCACACAAGCAGUGAUCCAGAGGAGUUCUACAUUGUCACAACAAGGCGUCCAACAGAACCCUGCACGAGAUUCUGCAUUGAUGCCCUGCAUAGAAAGACUGUUCCUGAUUUCCCACGAGAGUAUGUAUACAACCAUCUCACCUACACCUGUUUUUCCCUGAUGCCCUACAGCCAAAAGACUGUUCCUGAUGUUUUCUUCCCAGAGGGAAAAGACUUUUUUCUGAGUUCCCACAAGAACUGUUCCUGUUUUGUGGAAGAAUUUCUCACCAGUCGAGGACAUAAAGUCAUAAACAUGGGUAACUGGCGCUGAGAACGUCCUUGGUUCCCAGCGAGGCUAGGAAAUCGAGAUGUAAACAACUGAGCACCCCACACACAGCUGCAGUGGGCAGAGACUAGAUAACCAAGGGGGCUGGAGUGGGUGGUCUGGAAGGCUGACCCUUAGAAUGUUGUGAUAAGUUAACCUAUGCACACCUUACAUGUAACUCUGGACCCUCUGACUGUAACCAAUCUUAAGCUGAGCACGCCUCUUGCUAGAAUGCAUAUAAGUCACUGUAUCAUGGAAAUAAAGGGGAUUUGACCAUCUAA